rnacentral:lncRNA from 1 species
CUAUUAUCAGAUCUGGACACAGUGAGACCGCAGAGACUCAGGCCUGCUCAUGAGGCUGCUUCCCUCGCUGCGUCCCAUGGGCAGGUCGUGGUGUAGCUGUGCACUGUUGCAAGACAUGCUUCCAAGUGGCCCGGCAGGUUCAGGGGAUUGAUGGAAUCACCACUGUGCUAAAUUUUGGAAAAUUGGUGACCAGAUCCAAUGAACACCAAUAGGCAACGGAUCUAAAAGAGGAGAGAGCAGCCGCUUCCCUUUCUCACAUUUCUACAAGAAAUAAAACUGCAGGAUGGUGUGUGCACGCAGAGGCUUAGGCAGAAGUCUCUCCGGCAUCUCCCUGUUGCCUUGGCCUGACUUCCCCUGCCUGGGUUUUCUGUGCCUUUCUAGUCCAGGCCUCUCCUGCUGUAUUUCUGCUCACUCCUCACGUGCACCUUCCCCUGCGGCCAUCAGUAGGACCCCUCUCUGCCCCACCUCGCCCCCUCCCUGUGCUCUUGCAGCUGCCGUCCGCUUACCCCAGGGCUAGGCCAUUAGUCAUAUUCGAAGACCAGAUUCAGGCCCAGAGCCCGCAUGACUACUGUUUAAACUUACUCACCUUAACUGGAAAUCUCUUUUCUCUGAGCUCCAUUUUUGUUUUUUGAGACAGGGUCUUGCAGCCAGGUUGGAGUGCAGUGGUGAAAUCAUAACUCACUGCAGCCUCGAACACCCGGGCUCAAGCAAUCCUCCCACCUUAGCCUCCUGAGCAGCUGGGACUACAGGCAUACACCACCAUGCCCGGCUAAAUUUUGUAAUUUUUGCAGAGGUAGGGUCUCAUUGUGUUUCCCAGGCUAGUCUCAAACUCCUGGACUCAAGAGAUCUUCCUUGCUGGGUGCAGUGGCUCACACCUGUAAUCCCAACUCCAUCUCUACAAAAUAUAAACAUAAAAAAAUCCAGGCAUGGUGGCACACACCUGUGGUCCCAGUUACUCAGGAGGCUGAGGUGGGAGGACAGCUUGAGCUCUGGAGGUCGAGGCUGCAGUGGGAGGAUAGCUUGAGCUGUGAUUGCACCACUCCCCUUGAGCCUAGGUGACAGAGCAAGACCCCCAUCUCAAAAAAAAAAAAAAAUCCUAUGAAAGGAUUGUAGAAUCUUGGGGCCAAGAUGCUAAAUAUUACAUUUCUUAAAAUCAUAUUGUCCUUCCCUCCACAUAUACAUGCAGUGAUCAACAGAGACAUGCUUUAUGAACAAAAUAGAAAAGACAAAGGAAAGGGUUCGGGUGCGGUGGCUCACGUCUGUAAUCCCAAUGCUUUGGGAGGCCAAGGGAGGAGGAUCACUUGAGUCCAGGAGUCCGAGACCAGCCUGGGCAACAUAGGGAGACCUGAUCUCUCCAAAGAAAAAUGUAAAAAUUAGCCAGUCAUGGUGAUGCAUGUCUGUAGUCCCAGCUACUUGUGGGGCUGAGGUGGGAGGAUUGCUUGAGCCCAGGAGGUCAAAAAAGAAAAAGAGGUCCUCCCACCUUCGUGGGAUUACAGGUGUGAGCCACAGCACCCAGCCUCUUUUCUCUGAACUCCGAAUGUUGAGUUGUUAGAGUCAGUCUGACACAGUUUGGGCAACUAUUAUUCUUUUUGCCAUAUCUUUUUUCCUCCAGCCAGAUUUUAAGCAACUUGAGGGCAGGGUCCCAGUAGGUGGCAUUUAUUUUUGGUCCUUCUAGCAUCAUGCUGGGCCCAUGGCAGGUGUUUGAUGCCAGAGGAGUUGUGCAUUGAGGGGACUCAUGUGUGUGUCCUCCAGCCCACGGAUGAGCGGGUGCAGUGGCUGGCACAGUGCCCAGCCUGCAGGUGCUCCUCGAGGCACCGAGAGCUGCUGGGUGGCAGCGAAGCCCAGCUCUCCUCCCGCAUUAGGUAGUAGAGAGGAAGAAGCACCUGCAGACAUCCUGCAGGGCGUGCAGCUCCAUGCGUGGCUUG